UAGGGAAUCUUCGGCAAUGGGGGGAACCCUGACCGAGCAACGCCGCGUGAGUGAAGAAGGUUUUCGGAUCGUAAAGCUCUGUUGUUAAGGAAGAACGAGUGUGAGAAUGGAAAGUUCAUACUGUGACGGUACUUAACCAGAAAGGGACGGCUAACUACGUGCCAGCAGCCGCGGUAAUACGUAGGUCCCGAGCGUUGUCCGGAUGUAUUGGGCGUAAAGCGGGCGCAGGCGGUUAGAUAAGUCUGAAGUUAAAGGCAGUGGCUCAACCAUUGUAGGCUUUGGAAACUGUUUAACUUGAGUGCAGAAGGGGAGAGUGGAAUUCCAUGUGUAGCGGUGAAAUGCGUAGAUAUAUAGAGAAACACCGGUGGCGAAAGCGACUCUCUGGUCUAUAACUGACGCUGAGGCUCGAAAGCGUGGGGAGCGAACAGG
rnacentral:rRNA from 1 species